rnacentral:rRNA from 1 species
CUUGAUAACAUAAGAGGUCCAGCCUGCCCAGUGACUCAAUUCAACGGCCGCGGUAUCCUAACCGUGCAAAGGUAGCGUAAUCACUUGUCUUCUAAAUAAAGACUAGUAUGAAAGGCACCACGAGAACUAAACUGUCUCCUUUUUCUAAUCAGUGAACCUAAUCUCCCUGUGAAAAAGCAAGGAUUUAAUAAUAAGACGAGAAGACCCUAUGGAGCUUUAAACACAUAACAAUGCCCUUUUACACCACAAUGUUCCAUGCACAAUGAUUAAAAGUUUUUAGUUGGGGUGACUACGGAGUAAACCCACCCUCCGCGAUGAAUCUUAAACAAGCGACAGCUUUAUACAUCAGCAAACUGACACCAUUGACCCAAUUUAUUGAUCAACGAAC